AGUGAACGCUGGCGGUAGGCCUAACGCAUGCAAGUCGAACGGCAGCACAGUAAGAGCUUGCUCUUACGGGUGGCGAGUGGCGGACGGGUGAGGAAUACAUCGGAAUCUACUUUUUCGUGGGGGAUAACGUAGGGAAACUUACGCUAAUACCGCAUACGACCUACGGGUGAAAGCAGGGGAUCUUCGGACCUUGCGCGAUUGAAUGAGCCGAUGUCGGAUUAGCUAGUUGGCGGGGUAAAGGCCCACCAAGGCGACGAUCCGUAGCUGGUCUGAGAGGAUGAUCAGCCACACUGGAACUGAGACACGGUCCAGACUCCUACGGGAGGCAGCAGUGGGGAAUAUUGGACAAUGGGCGCAAGCCUAAUCCAGCCAUACCGCGUGGGUGAAGAAGGCCUUCGGGUUGUAAAGCCCUUUUGUUGGGAAAGAAAAGCAGCAGGUUAAUACCCCGCUGUUCUGACGGUACCCAAAGAAUAAGCACCGGCUAACUUCGUG
rnacentral:rRNA from 1 species